rnacentral:rRNA from 1 species
UGAGGAAUAUUGGUCAAUGGGCGAAAGCCUGAACCAGCCAAGUAGCGUGCAGGAUGACGGCCCUCUGGGUUGUAAACUGCUUUUAGUCGGGAAUAAAAUGCGGCACGUGUGCCGCUUUGCAUGUACCGUCAGAAAAAGGACCGGCUAAUUCCGUGCCAGCAGCCGCGGUAAUACGGAAGGUCCAGGCGUUAUCCGGAUUUAUUGGGUUUAAAGGGAGCGCAGGCGGACUUUUAAGUCAGCUGUUAAAUUCGGUGGCUCAACCAUCGCAUGCAGUUGAAACUGGAGGUCUUGAGUGUACACAGGGAUGCUGGAAUUCAUGGUGUAGCGGUGAAAUGCUCAGAUAUCAUGAAGAACUCCAAUCGCGAAGGCAGGCAUCCGGGGUACAACUGACGCUGAGGCUCGAAAGUGCGGGUAUCAAACAGGA